ensembl:lncRNA
GAGCCAACGUGAUUCAGAAGCAUUUCCCUUUUCCCACAAAACCAGCAAAAGCUUGAAGGGUCAGUUCACACAAAGUACAACAAGAAAAACACAUCACUCUCUGCUACAGGGGUAUUUACCUCUGCGGAUAUUUCCGGUUCAUUAGCACAACAAAACCUGUCCGAGAGAUUUCUGCUUCCGGCCCAAAUACAAUGAGUGUGAGUUUGAUUCCAUUAACUGGUGCUCUGAGAAAAUUAAAAGUAUCAUAAAAAUAAAUCAUCAUGGGCAAUUAGAAGCACUGCUAAAGGAAACUGCUGGUUUGUCAGAUGGAACCCUUAUUGGUGACAGAAUGCUCUACAGAAAGACACAGAACAGAUGUCGUUGGUAUCAUUCAAGUUAUUAAUAGCAGCUGGGGUCUUUAAUCCACUCUGACUGACCAGGAACCGCUGAGACAGAGUCCAGAUUUAUAUACGACAUAGAGCCUCAAGAGCUGCAUGUGAAUGAGCAGCAGGGCCCCGUUAACCGCAUGCAUGCAGAGUGGAGCUCACACAAAGAGAGAGAGAGGCAGCGCCGGAGCGAUGAUGAGUCCAUCCCCGGCGAAUAAAUUGGGGUUGACUUUGUGAGGGCCUUGAAGGAAAGGAGAGGGAAUGGAAUGAGAAUGCGGCGUUGCUACGCUGCAGAAUGAUAUUCAUGGCAGAUGAGAAGCCGCGGUAAUGUUAGGUGAGGGGAGGCGGGGAAGCUUCAUGAACCCUUGGUGAGGGUGGAGGGCGGCUGACCCCAGCUGCUGCUGCCGCCUUUGCCGCCAAAGAGGACGUAGAUUCUUAUUCGAACAGCAGCGUCAAGCUGAGUUAAAGGUUUUAAUCAGUGAUCCGGGAGGACAAAGAAAAUAUAAACGUUUGGGUCGUGGGACCCUGCUUCGUGUCACCACGUUGCAUAGCAAAAGCUUGAAAAUCUAAACAACUGAAAAAACAGAAAGUAGCCGUGUAAUAUUCCUGGUAAACGUCUUUCUUUUCUUUUUUUUUCCUUGACAGUUAAGGCUGUUCCCUUUUUCUUUUUUUAGCUGAAAAGGGCAAAGCCUGAUAUGAAUAUUCAUGAACACGGUCUGUAGACCUGUGUUCGAAUGGAUAAAUACAACUAAACUAUCUUUUUUUAAAUAAAUGCUGCAGGAUAAAAAUGCAAAAAAAUGCACGACUUUCUGAGGGUCAUUAAAAAUUGAAUCCUUUUGGAGGAAUGGAUCUCUGAAUUCAGCAACGAAGUUGAGCAAUUAAAUUAUUUAGACCUCCCGCAGUGAGAAAUGGUGCUAAUUAGCAUCAAACUACUUUGGUAUGAUGAGAUGAGCCAGUAUCACACAGGUGCAAUUGUCACUUUGUGCUGUUAAAUUAUGAAGGAGCUGACACUUGUUUCAAGGGCUUGUUACUUCUUCCACCUCAGAUCUGUACAGGGAAGUCACACCUGCCUGCUGAAAAAAUGUUGAAAUGUCAGCCGAAUGUGUGUGUGUGUGUGUGUGUGUGUGUGUGUGUGUGUGUGUAUGUGUUUGCGAUCUUGACAGAGCUGCAUUCUUUGGCCGUGAAAAAACAAGAUUUCUUUGAAAGCAAUCAUUUAAUUGUGCUUGAAGCAUUGAGUAAAACAGCAAAGUGAGUGUUCUGUUAAUGACUUGGGAAUAGAAAAAGAGUUAUGUGAUGGGCCGUGUCAGGAGGUACUGGUCUGCACAUAUCUGACUCGGCCAUAUUUCGGAGCCUUGUGUGUUGUGGGUAAUCCUGUCACGGUGCGUCUCCGGGUGCAUGAGUGUGACAGUAAAGCAGGGAGUAGGGGGAUGGACGGGGGGCUGCUGGGGUUCUUAACACACGACACGUUACCCAGACACGGCUACGAGUGGCCGGCUGCACAGAGAGGAAGAGGAGCAUCCUGCUGGGGGAGUGAAGGCUUCACGCGCAGGGACAGCAUGAUGGAUGAGGGGAGAAAGCUGCGGGAGGAAAUAAAUCAAUACCCCACCCAAACCUCCAUUCUUUCCAGUGGAUAGUCCCAUACUUGGUGUUUUGACCGGUUUUAUUUUAAGGAUACGCCCCCUGAAAUUGACCUCGCAGCUAUUAGAUAUUCCGCUCCCUAAGUAGCAUUUCCUGUACAAUAUGGUGGCUUUUCAGCAGAAGAAAAGCAAACAAAUGAAGUCCCCCUCGGG